rnacentral:lncRNA from 1 species
GUGGUAGUGGAAGGUUAGUUGAGCUUGAAGAAAAGGUCUCUGAAGAGCAAAGAGCUAUAGAUCCUUAGGAACUCAUUAUCCAUGAGCCAGUAGUUGACGUUCCUCAACCACCUCAUAGAUCUAGUAGGGUCUCCUGACCUCCUGAAAGGUAUAUGGAUAUGCUUAUGGAGGAAGUAAAGAAAAUAUUUCUUAUGGGAGAUAA